ACUUGAGCCACCACUGUGAUAACUUGAACUCCCACCACCACUGCAUCAUUCACUAUGCUGUUUGAUCCUAGGAAACCCUGUUGCUGUACUGUGACUUCAAAGCUGCUGCCAUGGCUGCAUGUGUGGAAAGCUAUCAUUUACUUGGUCCUUUAUCAUGAGAGAACUCUUCAAAUCUGAGAAGCUGUUUCCAUGAGUGGGAGUAGGACUGGUGCUCCAGGUGCAGCCUCACCAAUGCAGGAGAGGUGCAAUCAUCUCUGACCUGCUCUGAGCACAGGUAAACACAUGCAUGCUUUCUUUAUAUAAUAUUUUAAUUAUAUGCAUGCUUUUUAAUAUAAUAUUUUAUAUUUUUCAUUAAUUGUUUGUGUCUUAAAUAUAUCUCCCACCUCUAUUUUCACAUAAUUAAUAUCAGAAGAAUCAAUGUAACCGAUGAAUUGAAAUACCUUGUUAGAGAGGUAAUGUAAAGUAAUAGCAGAAUGUAUAAAAAAAUAAAAACUUUGAGGGACAAAUAAAAUGUCUACA
rnacentral:lncRNA from 1 species